CAGGACAUAUAAGAACAACACCAACACGUAAGUUAACUUUCAAUAGUAAUUUUAACAACAAAUUUGACCUUUUGCCUAUGCGUAAUCAACUUUCAUUAACAUUAAGAUUAAAAAAAAACAUAUACACUUUCAUUUUGAGUACGAUAAUUUCGACGUUUUGUAGGUUAUUUUCACAAGGAACACAACUGUAAAUGUUGCAUACUGUAAAAACGAAGUCUGUGACCCUUUCUUUAUUUUGCAUCAUUACAACGCAAAUUUAUGUAUCAAACACAUAUAGUUUUUUUCAGAAUAAUCUAUUGAGUAAUUUUUAAUAGAUUUGAUGAUUUUAAGACAAAUUUAAGAAGGUUUUUUGCCGAUUUAGUGUGCCUUUUAUUCAAAUUUUCUCCCAUUUCGAAAAAUUUCGAUCAGUUAUAUUUCAAAUAAUAAAUGAGAUAAAUGCAUUAUUUUUCUAUUUUCAGUAGUUGAACGAGCCAAAGGUGGCAAAACUUUACUGAAAUCUGUGACAAAAGCCAUUUAUUGUAACUUGGCCUUAAGUAAAAACUUAUCUAAAAAACAUAUGAUUAUCAUGUAAUUGUUAUCUAAAAGACACAUUAUUCAUAUGUAAUUUUUAUCUAAAAGACACACGAUUUUUAAACAACACAUGAUCUAUAUGAUUUUAUAUGGUAAGUGAACGAUUCAUUAUGUAAGUAUUAUAUAAAAGAGACAUGAUAUAUAUGUUAAGUGAAGGAUUCGUUAUGUAAUUGUUAUAUAAAAGAGACAUGAUAUAUAUGUUAAGUGAAGGAUUCAUUAUGUAAUUGUUA
rnacentral:lncRNA from 1 species